AUCCAGUUGAUGAAUCCCAAAUAGGAUGAAAUGUGAGUCCUAGAU
rnacentral:hammerhead_ribozyme from 1 species